GUCAUCGUAGCGCUUAUUGCGCGGCGAUGACCUUACAUGAUUGUCUUUUUGAUCAUUUUCUUGCUGAAAGCUGAGACAAACACCCUGGGGGAUCACUUGGACAUUUAUUUUUUAAUUAUUUUUACAAUUGGUAAAAUUUUGGAUUAAUCUUCAGAAUUUUCAACUUCUGAACUCUCGAGGCUCCCGUCCUGGAAUAACGCAACGAAGGGCAAUAAAUAGAAAUAGUUUUGGAUUUUUGUGAAGCAUCUAAUCUUUAAUCGUACAUUGUGCCCUCGGGUUUGUUUUUUCUGUGCCUGUUUGAACGUUAUUUCUCUCUCUUCCCUCCGGUUUGGUAUUUACGAAUACGCUUAUGCGGACUACUCUGUUGCUUGAAAAGUAUUGGCAUGGACUUAACUAGAUAGUGCUGUCGACCUCUCAAUGUAAUAGGUUUAUCCAACUUCUUGAAUGGUGUGGCGGGAUAUUUCUGGUAUUGUUGGCCCGGACUUACAACAACCAAACAAGUUUGACCUCAAAUCACCUAGGAAUACCCGCUGAACUUAACCAUAUCAAUAAGCGGAGGA
rnacentral:rRNA from 1 species